UACGGGGGGGGCAAGCGUUGUUCGGAAUUACUGGGCGUAAAGGGCGCGUAGGCGGUGCUCUAAGUUAGAUGUGAAAACUCUGGGCUCAACCCAGAGCCUGCAUCUAAAACUGGAGUGCUAGAGUUCUGGAGGGGGUAGCGGAAUUCCUGGUGUAGCGGUGAAAUGCGUAGAUAUCAGGAGGAACACCGGUGGCGAAGGCAGCACUCUGGGACGUGACUGACGCUGAGACGCGAAAGCGUGGGGAGCAAACAGG
rnacentral:rRNA from 1 species